rnacentral:rRNA from 1 species
GACACGGCCCAAACUCCUACGGGAGACAGCAGUUAGGAAUAUUCGUCAAUGGGGGAAACCCUGAACGAGCAAUGCCGCGUGAAGGAUGACGGUCCUUUGGAUUGUAAACUUCUGUUGUUAGGGAAGAACAAACUGUAUAGGAAAUGAUACAGUUCUGACGGUACCUUUCAAGAAAGCUCCGGCUAACUACGUGCCAGCAGCCGCGGUAAUACGUAGGGAGCAAGCGUUAUCCGGAUUUAUUGGGCGUAAAGGGUGCGUAGGCGGCUUGUUAAGUAUGAGAUUAAAGCCCGAGGCUUAACCUCGGUUCGUUUCAUAAACUGGCAGGCUUGAGUGUGGCAGAGGUAAACGGAAUUUCUAGUGUAGCGGUUAAAUGCGUAGAUAUUAGAAGGAACACCAGUGGCGAAGGCGGUUUACUGGGCCAUAACUGACGCUGAGGCACGAAAGCGUGGGGAGCAAAUAGGAUUAGAUACCCUAGUAGUCCACGCCGUAAACGAUGAGUACUAAGUGUCGGGAGACCGGUGCUGAAGUUAACACAUUAAGUACUCCGCCUGAGUAGUACGGUCGCAAGGCUGAAACUCAAAGGAAUUGACGGGCACCCGCACAAGCAGUGGAGCAUGCUGUUUAAUUCGAAGAUACGCGAAGAACCUUACCAGGGCUUGACAUCCCACUGACCGCUUUAGAAAUAAGGCUUUCCCUUCGGGGACAGUGGUGACAGGUGGUGCAUGGUUGUCGUCAGCUCGUGUCGUGAGAUGUUCGGUUAAGUCCGAUAACGAGCGCAACCCUUAUCCCUAAUUGCUAACAUUCAGUUGAGAACCUUAAGGAUACUGCCGGUGACAAACCGGAGGAAGGUGGGGAUGACGUCAAAUCAUCAUGCCCCUUACGUCCUGGGCUACAGGCGUGCUAUAAUGGCAGAUAUAAAAAGUCGCAAAACCGUGAGGUGGAGCUAAUCUGUAAAGUCUGUCUCAGUUCGGAUUGAAGUCUGCAACUCGACUUCAUGAAGCUAGAAUUGCUAGUAAUCGUGGAUCAGAAUGCCACGGUGAAUACGUUCCCGGGUGUUGUACACACCGCCCGUCACGCCAUGGGAGUCUGUAAUAUCUAAAAAUGGUAGCCUAACCGUUUACGGAGGGAUCCAUCUAAGGUAGGACAGGUGACUGGGGUGAAGUCGUAACAAGGUAUCACUACCGGAAGGUGGGGAUG